CUGCCACUGACGAGUCCCACAAUAGGACGAAACGACCUUAAAGCAG
rnacentral:hammerhead_ribozyme from 1 species